GAUAAGAUGGAGUAAGGUGAGCUCGUUAGGUUGUCGAUCUAAAGGUGCAAGGAUUAAGUUGCUCUUAUUU
rnacentral:tRNA from 1 species